rnacentral:rRNA from 2 species
GGAAGCGCCGUAAGGUGUGGAGUUGACUGGUACUAAUAGGCCGAGGGCUUGUCCUCAGUUG